UAGUAGUUAAUACCAUAAAAUAUUGAGCCAUUAUUCAGCAACAAUCGAAUAAAUUAUCGAUAGUUUCUUGACAGUGACAGAUUUUAAAAUUUCCAGACUUUUUUUAUUAUAUAUGUCAUAGUCGAAAUAUAAAACCCGUUGUUUUAUAAAACGCCUAGUCGUUUUAUAAACAGCAGCCAGAUUGUCAAAUAUUAAUUGUCAACUCAUUAUUUUGCUAUCUGGCUAGCGUAGUUUUAUAAAACACCUAGUCGUUUUAUAAAAGUACGGUGACUGCUUGGCCAGAUUAUUAAACGCUAAAAAGACAUUUAAUCGUUUGAUAUUAUGACAUUUUGACGAGUGAUGCAUUUUGAUGCAAAUUUGAUCCAUAAUUUCAAUUUUGCUUAGUUCGUUUAGUUACAACUCUUCUUGGUUUGUUUAGUACUCUAAAAAUAUGGAUCCUGUUAAAGUAGCAGCGGCGGGAGUAGAUAAAAACUUCUAACGUAGUUUUUAUAAGGAUGCUCUUGAAAGUGAAAGAAAAUUAUUUUCUGAAUGACAAUUUUACUAUGUAACUUAAUAUGUAUUAACUUAAAUUUUCACUUUUUAAAAUAAAAAUUUUAAUAUGGAUGGAAAAGGAUAAGAAGUAUAAGACAAAUGGCUGUCCUACUUCGAGAGCUACUACAUAAAAUUUUCAUGUUAUAGAAACAAAGUAGUAGAAACUACUCUUUACUCAGAAGCAUAUAGGAAGAUAAUUUUUUGCAUAAAUAAACUAACAUAAAGCGGCCAAUGUCAACGAUGGAACCAAUAUUAGCUACCUGGAAUCGGAACAUCAUCGGAAGGAUUAACCCUAUAAAAAGUAUUAAAAAAUCAUCUGUAAGCCUGACUUGUCGUUAUCACAUACACAGUAUUACUUUAGUCUGCAGCAAUCAACUUGGUUUUGUCACUAUUCUGAUGGCAGUCAGAUUUCAAGGUUCUAGGAACAUCAAAUGGAUCAGACUUAUGACUUAUUCCAAGAUCUGCACUUGUUAAAAUAUCACUUGUAAAUGAAAGCAGGAACGUAUUCAACUAUUUAGCAACAAAUCUAAUUCUAUUAUAAAUAGAACGAAUAAAAUUAAACUCGUUAAGGACCUUUCGACAUCUAUAUUAAAAUUUGCAUUUUACUUUUAUUGUGAUAUUUGUCUGUUAAUUUAAGAAUAUGUAAGAUAUUUGAAUUGUUUUAUUUAAUUUUUGUGGUAUUAUAUUUAAUAAUUUCUGUUCACCUAAAUACCAAUCUUGCUUUGUAAAGCAAACAUUUUUAAAAU